rnacentral:rRNA from 1 species
AUUGAACGCUGGCGGCAGGCCUAACACAUGCAAGUCGAACGGUAGCACAGAGAGCUUGCUCUCGGGUGACGAGUGGCGGACGGGUGAGUAAUGUCUGGGAAACUGCCCGAUGGAGGGGGAUAACUACUGGAAACGGUAGCUAAUACCGCAUAACGUCGCAAGACCAAAGUGGGGGACCUUCGGGCCUCACACCAUCGAAUGUGCCCAGAUGGGAUUAGCUAGUAGGCGGGGUAAUGGCUCACCUAGGCGACGAUCCCUAGCUGGUCUGAGAGGAUGACCAGCCACACAGGAACUGAGACACGGGCCAGACUCCUACGGGAGGCAGCAGUGGGGAAUAUUGCACAAUGGGCGCAAGCCUGAUGCAGCCAUGCCGCGUGUAUGAAGAAGGCCUUCGGGUUGUAAAGUACUUUCAGCGGGGAGGAAGGCGGUGGAGUUAAUAACUUCACCGAUUGACGUUACCCGCAGAAGAAGCACCGGCUAACUCCGUGCCAGCAGCCGCGGUAA